GACAGCUAAAUGUUGGUUGGGAGAAAUAGUGUGGAGUUGAGAAAGUUCAUUGAUGAAGGACUUGUGAGGCAAAAACUAGAGAAAGCUGAGGGAAAAGUGAACAGCUGAGGCCUGAAUAUUAAGCUAUUUGUCUCCAGUAUGAUAACUAUAUAUUGCUGGUGAGGAAGGGAGCAGGUGGGUGUGUUAGGCAAAGAAGCUACCCUGUGUAAAUCUCUUGCCAGAAAACGAAAACACAAGAUGGAUCUUGACUGACUUCAUGAAGGAUUCACUCAGCUGCAAAAUGAUGAACCAACCCCAGACAUGAACUCUCCUUAACAAAAACCAAAGCAGAAUACGUUACCUAUCUCCAAAUUCCCAGAUUCGCUUUUCGUGAAAAAGGCAGUAUCGAAAAGAAACCACGUGGCCUUACAGUGGGUUUGUUUGUUUUUUUGUGUGGCGGGGGAUGUGUGUAUGUGUGUGUUUAAUGCAAUUUAUUUAUUUGUUUAUUUAUUUUUCCCUCCCUAUUUCUCUGUCGUUGCCCUUUGCCUUUUUUAAUUGUAAUGGUUUAAAACGUACGCACAUGAGAAAUAACCGAAUUGGGUGACACAUAAUAAAUAUCAUUAAAAGUAUUGUCAAAAAAGGGGGGGUCGUAAAAGGACAUUCGCAAACAUAAACAAGCACAGGUAUAUCUUUGAAUACGCCUGUCUUGUAUAAUCCAUAUUUAAAUAAUUGUUAUGCAUAACAAUAUUAAGCACAUUGCUUGCAAGGGAAAUAGCAUAAGCCCAUGCUUCAUACUGCCACUGAAAUAAAUGUGACUUCAAAGUGCUUUAUUUUGCCGGAUCGUGUCCUAGCAAGCAAGAUUAUCACACACUACACAUAUAUAAAUACAGACUCUCCCAGGAUAACGUGUGUACACACACACACACACACAUUAUCUUGGAGAAGCCAGCAUGAUUGGGUAGUUAAUUUGAUUUAUUAUUCUUCAAAAACACUGCCUCCAAUAGGGGUGUCAUCUGGAAACUUCAUGCUAUUUUAUACUAUCAUUCUAAGGCUGAAAUAAAUGUUACCAAUUGAUGACAGCUUCCAGCUGCACGGUAAAAAUAGCCCUCUGGUUUCACAUGAUCCUGUUUCUUGUUAAUCGAGGAUGAAGCAGGCCUGACUUACAGAACCUAGAAGGGGAAGGGUGGGUUUAAAGAUUGAAUUGACUUAUUAUUUUGGAAUUGUUUAUUAUUUGUUUAUUAUUUUAUACAAAGAUUUAUAUCCUGACCAUCCAGUGCUUAUGUACUGUGUUAUGUACUGUGUAGGAGACAGAUUGAAAAGAUAGAUUUAGAUAUACACAAUAAAAUUAAGAAAUGGGCAUACUACAAUU